rnacentral:rRNA from 1 species
GACGAACGCUGGCGGCGUGCUUAACACAUGCAAGUCGAACGGAAAGGCCCUGCUUUUGUGGGGUGCUCGAGUGGCGAACGGGUGAGUAACACGUGAGUAACCUGCCCUUGACUUUGGGAUAACUUCAGGAAACUGGGGCUAAUACCGGAUAGGAACUCCUGCUGCAUGGUGGGGGUUGGAAAGUUUCGGCGGUCGGGGAUGGACUCGCGGCUUAUCAGCUUGUUGGUGGGGUAGUGGCUUACCAAGGCUUUGACGGGUAGCCGGCCUGAGAGGGUGACCGGCCACAUUGGGACUGAGAUACGGCCCAGACUCCUACGGGAGGCAGCAGUGGGGAAUAUUGCACAAUGGGCGGAAGCCUGAUGCAGCAACGCCGCGUGCGGGAUGACGGCCUUCGGGUUGUAAACCGCUUUCGCCUGUGACGAAGCGUGAGUGACGGUAAUGGGUAAAGAAGCACCGGCUAACUACGUG